GACGAACGCUGGCGGCGUGCUUAACACAUGCAAGUCGAACGGAAAGGCCCUGCUUUUGUGGGGUGCUCGAGUGGCGAACGGGUGAGUAACACGUGAGUAACCUGCCCUUGACUUUGGGAUAACUUCAGGAAACUGGGGCUAAUACCGGAUAGGAGCUCCUGCUGCAUGGUGGGGGUUGGAAAGUUUCGGCGGUUGGGGAUGGACUCGCGGCUUAUCAGCUUGUUGGUGGGGUAGUGGCUUACCAAGGCUUUGACGGGUAGCCGGCCUGAGAGGGUGACCGGCCACAUUGGGACUGAGAUACGGCCCAGACUCCUACGGGAGGCAGCAGGGGGGAAUAUUGCACAAUGGGCGGAAGCCUGAUGCAGCAACGCCGCGUGCGGGAUGACGGCCUUCGGGUUGUAAACCGCUUUCGCCUGUGACGAAGCGUGAGUGACGGUAAUGGGCAAAGAAGCACCGGCUAACUACG
rnacentral:rRNA from 1 species